GGCCAUAUUACGUUGAAACACCGGUUCUCGUACGAUCACUGAAGUUAAGCAACGUCAAAUCUGGUCAGUACCUAGAUGGGCGACUACUUGGAAAUACCAGGU
rnacentral:rRNA from 1 species